rnacentral:lncRNA from 1 species
UUUUGAAAAAAGAAAGAAAAAGGUUAAAUGUCCUACUACUGGUAAUUGUUUUUUUUUUUUUUUUUUUUUUGAGAUGGAGUUUCGUUUUUGUUGUCCGGGCUGGAGUGCAAUGGCUCGAUCUUGGCUCAACCUCCGCCUCCCAGGUUGAAGCAAUUCCCCUGCCUCAGCCUCCCGAGUAGCUGGGAUUACAGGCAUGCGCCACCACGCUCGGCUAAUUUUGUAUUUUUAGUAGAUAUGGGGUUUCUCCAUGUUGGUCAGGCUGGUGUUGAACUCCCUACCUCAGGUGAUCUGCCCACCUCCGCCUCCCAAAGUGCUGGGAGGCACUGUGGGCAAACUCCCAAAGUGGCAUGAGCCACUGCGCCCCGCCUUGCUACUGGUAAUUUUCUAGCUCUUAGUUUGGGUCAUGGGAUUGCAGGUGUCUGUCUAUUUUGUCACCGCCCUUCCUCACUUACAUAUAUGUUCCACAUGUCUUUUAGUAUAUAGUAAAUAUUACACAAUAACUUUUUAUUUUUUGAGACUGAGUUUCUCUCUAUUGCCCAGGUUGGAGUGCAGUGGCAUGAUCUCAGUUCACUGCAACCUCCACCUCCUGAGUUCAAGCGAUUCUCGUGCCUCCACGUCCCAAGUAGCUGGGAUUACAGUCACUCACCACCACACCUGGAUAAUUUUUGUAUUUUUAGUAGAGAUGGGGUGUCACCACAUUGGCCAGGUGGGCCUCGAACUCCUGACCUCAGGUGAUCUGCCUGUCUUGGCCUCCCAAAGUGGAUUACAGGCAUAAGCCACCAUGCCCGGCCACAGUAACUUUCUUUUGAGCAAAGUUAAGGAGGUAAAUUUGUUUGGAUGUUGUAAACAGAGGAAGCUGUAGCUGGUGCUCAUUCCCACACCUCUGGACCAAGGGUAGAGACUUUGUGGUCUGGGUGGAUAUGAUGACAGCAUAUCAGUUUUGACUCCUGGACCACAAGGAACUGAACUGGCCACCUGCGACUCAUCUGUUUCUAGUAGAGGUGGGUCUCGUGCAUAUGAUGGGGACAGGGGCAGUGCAGCUGUAUCCAGAGUGCGUGUCUUUUACAGCAGCCAUCCUGUCCCCAACCUUUUUGGCACCAGGGACCAGUUUUAUGGUAGACAAUUUUUCCACAGCUGGGGUUGGGGGAAUGGUUUUGGGAUGAAACUGUUCCACCUCAGAUCACCAGGCAUUGGUUAGAUUCUCAUAAGGAGCAUGUAACCUAGAUCCCUCACAUGUGCAGUUCAUAAUAGGGUCUGCAGUCCUAUGAGAAUCUAAUGCUGCAUGGAUCCGACAGGAGGCAGAGCUCAGGCAGUAAUGCUCACUCAUCUGCUGCUCACCUCCUGCUGGGUGGCCCAGUUUUUAACAGGCCACAGACUAUAUGGUUUUGUGGCCCAGGGGCUGGAAACCACUGUUUUAUAACUCUCCCUGUCUUCUCUUCACUCCUGCCGUGGCAUCCCCUUCUGUCCUAUUAAAACUGACUUUGUUGUUGUUGUUGUUAUUAUUAUUAUUAUUUUGUAUUAUUAUACGUUAAGUUCUAGGGUACAUGUGCACAACAUGCAGGUUUGUUACAUAUGUAUACAUGUGCCAUGUUGGUGUGCUGCACCCAUUAACUCGUCAUUUAACACUAGGUAUAUCUCCUAAUGCUAUCCCUCCCCCCUCCUCCCACCCCACAACAGGCCCUGGUGUGUGACGUUCCCCUUCCUGUGUCCAAGUGUUCUCAUUGUUCAAUUCCCACAUAUGAGUAAGAACAUGUGGUGUUUGGUUUUUGUCCUUGCAAUAGUUUGCUGAGAAUGAUGGUUUCCAGCUUCAUCCAUGUCCCUACAAAGGACAUGAACUCAUCCUUUUUCAGCUGCAUAGUAUUCCGUGGUGUAUAUGUGCCACAUUUUCUUAAUCCAGUCUGUCAUUGAUGGACAUUUGGGUUGGUUCUGUGAAUAGUGCCACAAUAAACAUAAAUGUGUAUGUGUCUUUAUAGCAGCAUGAUUUAUAAUCCUUUGGGUAUAUACCCAGUAAUGGGACGGCUGGGUCAAAUGGUAUUUCUAGUUCUAGAUCCUUGAGGAAUCACCACACUGUCUUUCACAAUGGUUGAACUAAUUUACAGUCCCACCAACAGUGUAAAAGUGUUCCUAUUUCUCCACAUCCUCUCCAGCACCUGUUGUUUCCUGACUUUUUAAUGAUCGCCAUUCUAACUGGUGUGAGAUGGUAUCUCACUGUGGUUUUGAUUUGCAUUUCUCUGAUGGCCAGUGAUGAUGAGCAUUUUUUCAUGUGUCUGUUGGCUGCAUAAAUGUCUUCUUUUCAGAAGUGCCUGAUCAUAUCCUUCGCCCACUUUUUGAUGGGGUUGUUUGAUUUGUUUCUUGUAAAUUUGUUUAAGUUCUUUGUAGAUUCUGGAUAUUAGCCCUUUGUCAGAUGGGUAGAUUGCAAAAAUUUUCUCCCAUUCUGUAGGUUGCCUGUUCACUCUGCUGGUAGUUUCUUUUGAUGUGCAGAAGCUCUUUAGUUUAAUUAGAUCCCAUUUGUCAAUUUUGGCUUUUGUUGCCAUUGCUUUUGGUGUUUUAGACAUGAAGUCCUUGCCCAUGCCUAUGUCCUGAAUGGUAAUUGCCUAGGAUUUCUUCUAGGGUUUUUAUGGUUUUAGGUCUAAUAUUUAAGUCUUUAAUCCACCUUGAAUUAAUUUUUGUAUAAGGUGUAAGGAAGGGAUCCAGUUUCAGCUUUCUAUAUAUGGCUAGCCAGUUUUCCCAGCACCAUUUAUUAAAUAGGGAAUCCUUCCUCCAUUUCUUGUUUUUGUCAGGUUUGUCAAAGAUCAGAUGGUUGUAGACGUGUGGUAUUAUUUCUGAGGGCUCUGUUCUAUUCCAUUGGUCUAUAUCUCUGUUUUGGUACCAGUACCAUGCUGUUUUGGUUACUGUGGCCUUACAGUAUAGUUUGAAGUCAGGUAGCAUGAUGCCUCCAGCUUUGUUCUUUUGGCUUAGGAUUGUCUUGGCAACACAGGCUCUUCUUUGGUUUCAUAUGAACUUUAAAGUAGUUUUUUCCAAUUCUGUGAAAAAAGUCAUUGGUAGCUUGAUGGGGAUGGCAUUGAAUCUGUAAAUUACCUUGGGCAGUAUGGCCAUUUUCACAAUAUUGAUUCUUCCUACCCAUGAGCAUGGAAUGUUCUUCCAUUUGUUUGUGUCCUCUUCUAUUUCGUUGAACAGUGGUUUGUAGUUCUCCUUGAAGAGGUCCUUCACAUCCCUUGUAAGUUGGAUUCCUAGGUAUUUUAUUCUUUUUGAAGCAACUGUGAAUGGGAGUUCACUCAUGAUUUGGCUCUCUGUUUGUCUGUUAUUGGUGUAUAAGAAUGCUUGUGACUUUUGUACAUUGAUUUUGUAUCCUGAGACUUUGCUGAAGUUGCUUAUCAGCUUAAGGAUAUUUUGGGCUGAGAUGAUGGGGUUUUCUAGAUAUACAAUCAUGUCAUCUGCAAACAGGGACAAUUUGACUUCCUCUUUUCCUAUUUGAAUACCCUUUAUUUCUUUCUCCUGCCUGAUUGCCCUGGCCAGAACUUCCAAUAGUAUGUUGAAUAGGAGUGGUGAGAGAGGGCAUCCUUGUCUUGUGCCGGUUUUCAAAGGGAAUGCUUCCAGUUUUUGGCCAUUCAGUAUGAUAUUGGCUGUGGGUUUGUCAUAAAUAGCUCUUAUUAUUUCGAGAUAUGUCCCAUCAAUACCUAAUUUAUUGAGAGUUUUUAGCAUGAAGCGCUGCUGAAUUUUGUCGAAGGCCUUUUCUGCAUCUAUUGAGAUAAUCAUGUGGUUUUUGUCUUUGGUUCUGUUUAUGUGAUGGAUUACGUUUAUUGAUUUGCACAUGUUCAACCAGCCUUGCAUCCCAGGGAUGAAGCCCACUUGAUCAUGGUGGAUAAGCUUUUGAUGUGCUACUGGAUUUGGUUUGCCAGUAUUUUAUUGAGGAUUUUUGCAUCGAUGUUCAUCAGGGAUAUGUCUAAAAUUCUCUUUUUUUGUUGUGUCUCUGCCAGGCUUUUGUAUCAGGAUGAUGCUGGCCUCAUAAAAUGAGUUACGGAGGAUUCCCUCUUUUUCUGUUGAUUGGAGUAGUUUCAGAAGGAAUGGUACCAGGUCCUCCUUGUACCUCUGGUAGAAUUUGGCUGUGAAUCCGUCUGGUUCUGGACUUUUUUUGAUUAGUAGGCUAUUAAUUAUUGCCUCAACUUCAGAGCCUGUUAUUGGUCUAUUCAGAGAUUCAACUUCUUCCUGGUUUAGUCUUGGGAGGGUGUAUGUGUCCAGGAAUUUAUCCGUUUCUUCUGGAUUUUCUAGUUUAUUUGUGUAGAGGUGUUCAUAGUAUUCUCUGAUGGUAGUUUGUAUUUCUGUGGGAUCAGUGGUGAUAACCCCUUUAUCAUUUUUUUAUUGCGUCUAUUUGAUUCUUCUCUCUUUUCUUCUUUAUUAGAAAUGUCGGGUUACCUACAAAGGGAAGCCCAGCAGACUAACAGUGGAUCUCUCAGCAGAAACUCUACAAGCCAGAAGAGAGUGAGGGCCAAUAUUCAACAUUCUUAAAGAAUUUUCAAUCCAGAAUUUCCUAUGCAGCCAAACUAAGCUUCAUAAGUGAAGGAGAAAUAAAAUCCUUUACAGAUGAGCAAAUGCUGAGAGAUUUUGUCACCACCAGGCCUGCCAUAAAAGAGCUCCUGAAGGAAGUACUAAACAUGGAAAGGAACAACUGGUACCAGCCACUGCAAAAACAUGCCAAAUUGUAAAGAUCAUCGAUGCUAGGAAGAAACCGCAUCAACUAACAAGCAAAAUAACCAGCUAACAUCAUAAUGACAGGGUCAAAUUCACACAUAACAAUAUUAACCUUAAAUGUAAAUGUGCUAAUUGCUCUAAUUAAAAGACACAGACUAGCAAAUUGGAUAAAAAGUCAAGACCCAUCAGUGUGCUGUAUUCAGGAGACCCAUCUCACGUGCAGAGGCACACAUAGGCUCAAAAUAAAGGGAUGGAGGAAGAUCUACCAAGCAAAUGGAAAACAAAAAAAAGCAGGGGGUGCAAUCCUAGUCUCUGAUAAAACAGAUUUUAAACCAACAAAGAUCAAAAGAGACAAAAAAGGCCAUUACAUAAUAGUAAAGGGAUCAAUUCAACAAGAAGAGCUAACUAUCCUAAAUAUAUAUGAACCCAAUACAGGAGCACCCAGAUUCAUAAAGGAAGUCCUUAGAGACCUACAAAGAGACUUAGACUCCCACACAAUAAUAAUGGGAUACUUUAACACCCCACUGUCAACAUUAGACAGAUCAAUGAGACAGAAAGUUAACAAGGAUAUCUAGGAAUUGAACUCAGCUCUGCACCAAGCAGACCUAAUAGAUAUCUACAGAACUCUCCACCUCAAAUCAACAGAAUAUACAUUCUUCUCAGCACCACAUCACACUUAUUCCAAAAUUGACCACAUAGUUGGAAGUAAAGCACUCCUCAGCAAAUGUAAAAGAACAGAAAUUAUAACAAACUGUCUCUCAGACCACAGUGCAAUCAAACUAGGACUCAGGAUUAAGAAACCCACUCAAAACCGCUCAACUACAUGGAAACUGAACAACCUGCUCCUGAAUGACUACUGGGUACAUAAUGAAAUGAAGGCAGAAAUAAAGAUGUUCUUUGAAACCAGUGAGAACAAAGACACAACAUACCAGAAUCUCUGGGACACAUUUAAAGCAGUGUGUAGAGGGAAAUUUAUAGCACUAAAUUUAUAGCCCAUAAGAGAAAGCAGGAAAGAUCUAAAAUUGAUACCCUAACAUUACAAUUAAAAGAACUAGAGAAGCAAGAGCAAACACAUUCAAAAGCUAGCAGAAGGCAAGAAAUAACUAAGAUCACAGCAGAACUGAAGGAGAUAGAGACACAAAAAACCCUUCAAAAAAUCAAUGAAUCCAGGAGCUGGUUUUUUGAAAAGAUCAACAAAAUUGAUAGACCGCUGGCAAGACUAAACCUGACUUUUUUUUUUUUAAGGUUUUUUUUUUUUUUUAAAUUUAUUUUUUUAUUGAUAAUUCUUGGGUGUUUCUCACAGAGGGGGAUUUGGCAGGGUCAUGGGACAAUAGUGGAGGGAAGGUCAGCAGAUAAACAAGUGAACAAAGGUCUCUGGUUUUCCUAGGCAGAGGACCCUGCGGCCUUCCGCAGUGUUUGUGUCCCUGAUUACUUGAGAUUGGGGAGUGGUGAUGACUCUUAACGAGCAUGCUGCCUUCAAGCAUCUGUUUAACAAAGCACAUCUUGCACCGCCCUUAAUCCAUUUAACCCUGAGUGGACACAGCACAUGUUUCAGAGAGCACAGGGUUGGGGGUAAGGUCACAGAUCAACAGGAUCCCAAGGCAGAAAAAUUUUUCUUAGUGCAGAACAAAAUGAAAAGUCUCCCAUGUCUACUUCUUUCUACACAGACACGGCAACCAUCCGAUUUCUCAAUCUUUUCCCCACCUUUCCCGCCUUUCUAUUCCACAAAGCCGCCAUUGUCACCCUGGCCCGUUCUCAAUGAGCUGUUGGGCACACCUCCCAGACGGGGUGGUGGCCGGGCUGAGGGGCUCCUCACUUCCCAGUAGGGGCGGCCGGGCAGAGGCGCCCCUCACCUCCCAGACGGGGCAGCUGGCCGGGCGGGGGGCUGACCCCCCGACCUCCCUCCCCGACGGGGCGGCUGGCCGGGCUAAACCUGACUUUUUAAUCAUUUCUUUUUCUCUGGAAUCAGGAGGCUUAUCUCUCAUUGAAUUUUUUUUUUUUUUUUUUUUUUUUUUUGAGAUGGGGUUUUGCUCUUGUCAUCUAGGAUGGAGUGCAAUGGCGUGAUCUUGGGUCACUGCAACCUCCGCCUCCCAGGUUCAAGCAUUCUCCUGUCUCAGCCUCCCAGGUAGCUGGGAUUACCAGCGUGCACCACCACACCCAGCUAAUUGUAUUUCUAGUAGAGACAGGGUUUCACCGUGUUGGCCAGACUGGUCUUGAAUUCCUGACCUCAAGUGAUCUGCCCACCUCAGCCUCCCAAAGUGCUUGGAUUACAGGUGUGAGCCACUGCACCUGGCCUUACUGACUUCUUUAUAUGAUUCAGUCAGAGUUUGAGGGGCCCAUUACUGAUCUUCAGCUGGUGUAUCUUAUUCUGGAAACAUGAACAGAAAUUAAUAAGUAAGGCACUUAAAUCAAGCCAGAUAGUUUUGACCAAAAUAAGAUGUUUUAAAACACAUUAUUAGCCAAAAAUAUACCUUCUACUUGAAUAACAAAGAGGUCAGAAUAACUUCUGUUUUUCUUUUCCAAAGAGCAAAAAAUCAACAGUAUUAAAUAGAGAAAAUUCCUGUACAUCAGCUGACACCUAUGAAUGCUUCUUCAUUCCAGUUCUUUGGUUAGAUAACACAAAAAGAACAUUAAGAAAGGUCUUAUAAAAAGACAAAUUCCUAGUCGGGAAGGAAGUCACACAUGUGACCUUCUCUUGCUAAUAUUCCAGAAGGCUUUUUGUUAAAUGAGUGAGGGCUCUUUGUUACAAACUGCAGAAAGUGACUCCAGAAUAAGAACUUGUUGGAAAACUACCAGGUGACUCAAAGAAUAAUCUGGAGGGCUGGAGAAUCAGGCUGGGAAAAUAGCCAGAAGUCAAGGAUAGAUAUCAGGAACCACAGCCAAAGACAUAUCAUCUCUGGAGCAGAUAGUGAAGACAUCCUGCUGCCCUGCAGCCUCAGUCUCCAAAUGCCACCACCAUGAACAAAUCCUAAACAGUCUUAGAUGUUUACAUCACCAGCUCAGGAUUCAAAGACUUGAGAAAGCAUAUCUGAUUGCUAAGCCUUGACCAUGUGUCUGCACCCUAGCCUCUAGGGGACUGGAAGAGGAAAAUAUGACCUUUUUUCAGCUUCCAUACCGGCAAGCAAGACUCAAUACAAUGGGAUGAUUUGUCAAACAGUAAGGAGUUUUACAUGCUAGACGACCAAAAGAAUGACAAUUAUGCAUUCCUAUAUUGCUGAUUUGCACGAAGGCACUGAAAUGAGAAAAAAAAAAAACUUUUUGGAAGAGUCAUGCCCAAUUCUAGGUUGCUCCCCAUCAAAUUCUCUUCUACCUUUUAAAAAUAUUUCCAGUUUAUCUUACCUGCAGUCUUCCUACCCUUACUCUGUCUCUAUUCUGCUCCCCUCCAUGACCAUACCCAAACAUAUACACUUCUGGAACAUGUUUAGAUUUGACUAUGGCAGGGGAGUUUGGAGGGUGGGAGGUGUCCAGGCUAUAACAUCUUCAGCAUGGCUUCUAGAUUUCAUUCAGAUCUGCUCAGAUUUAAAAUGAUUACACACACAGUACUCAUCAUUUUGCCACAUACACCGCCUUCCUAUUCUCAAGAACCUUACCCACCUGUGACCACAGCUAAAUCUCCAGGCGUUGUUCAGCCUUGUCAGGCUCCUUCCAACAUCCUGAUGUUCUGUUCCCCCUUGUCUCCAUGCUGACCUGUUCUGAACCUCUGGGCUUGGAUUCCUGCUCCUGUCCACUAUGCAUACAUCACAGACUCUUCAUAAGGGAGGUAUAGUUACAUUCCAAUAUGUGGUGAAGGGAGCCUGCAGGCAGAGCCACACAUGUGGUUGCUGAGGGAAUGGGCACAUAAAAAGAAGCCCCUCUUCAACAAUCUUCUUCAAAUAGUUCACAGUCUCACCACUGGCCAUCCAAAAGCACAUUUAGCAUUCAUGUCUUCAACGUCUUUCUAUCACGGUCUUAACAAGCAUACUGUUGACCAGGCAGGGUCGUUCACGCCUGUAAUCCCGGCACUUUGGGAGACCAAGGUGGGCAGAUUGCUUGAGCUCAGGAGUUUGAGACCACCCUGGGCAACAUGGAGAAAUCCCAUCUCCACAAAAAAAAUACAAAAAAGUUAGUCAGGUGUGGUGGACGUGCCUGUAGUCCCAGCUACUUGGGAGGCUGAAGCAUGAGAGUUGCUUGAACCCAGGAGGCAGAUGUUGCAGUGAGCUGAGAUCAUGCCACUGCACUCCAGGCUGCGUGACAGAGCGAGACCCUGUCUCAAAAACAAAAAAACAAACAAAAAAAACCCACAGAAAAUAAACAAGUGUACUGUCAAUUCACUGUUAAAAACCUGUAAAAAAGACACCCGAAAAAAAGUUUCAGAAAAUAUGUUUCAUCCACCCCUUUGCACCUCUACCAAAUUCUAUUCUUUUUCUGACUUCCUUCCUUCCUGUUUCCCUGGCCUUUUUAUUUCUUAUUCUUUUCAAGUCUUUCUAACCUACUGCCCUGGGUGCCAUGUCCUUAGACCUCUGCCCAGAUUUCACUUCCCUUGACCUACGUUUUUCUUACAACUUUAUUAAUACAUAGUUGAAGUACAAUAAUCUGUACAUAUUUGAAGUAUGCAAUUUGAUCUGUUUUGAUAUACGUGUUAUAUUGAUUUUCCAUUGCCUUAUAACAAUUUACCACAAACAUUAUGGCGUAAAAUAACAUUUAUUAUCUCACCUCACAGUUUUGUGGUCAGGAAUCCAGGCAUGGCCUGACUGGGGCUUCUAUUCAGAAUCUCACGAGGCAGCAGUCAGGAUGUUUGCUGGGCUGCACUCUCAUCUGGUGGCUGAGUGAAGAAGAAUAUGCGUCCAAAUUCAUUCAAGUUGGCAGAAAGCAUUUCCUUGUGGAUGUAUGAUUGAAGGCCCUGACUUCUUUUUUUUUUUUUUUUUUUUUGAGAUGGAGUCUCGCUCUGUCGCCCAGGCUGGAGUGCAGUGGCAUGAUCUCGGCUCACUGCAGGCUCCGCCUCCUGGGUUCAUGCCAUUCUCCUGCCUCUCAGCCUCCUGAGUAGCUGGGACUACAAGUGCCUGCCAACACGCUUGGCUAAUUUUUAUAUUUUUAGUAGAGAUGGGGUUUCACCGUGUUAGCCAGGAUGGCCUCGAUCUCCUGACCUCGUGAUCCACCCUGCUUGGCCUCCCAAAGUGCUGGGAUUACAGGCGUGAGCCACCGCGCCUGGCCUUGGAGGCCCUGACUUCUUGCUAGCUGUUGGCUGGAGGUCACUCUUAGGUUUUAGAGGCCACCCACUGUUCUUAGAGGCCAUCCUCCUUAUUCUCUGGGUUUUCCAACACGAUCACUUCAUCAGGCACACAAGGAAAGUCUUUAAAUGCAGUCCACUAAGAUGGAGUUUUAAAUACUGUAAUAUCAUUACAACAGUAACAGUUGAUCACUUUUGCUAUAUUGUAUUGGUUAGAAGCCAAUCACAGUUCCCACAUACAAAGAGAGGGGAUUACCCAAAGGGGUGAACACCAGGAGGCAGAGAUCAUUGUGUCAUUAUAGGUUUUGUCUGCCACAUAUAUACACCAUGAAACCAUCACUACAAUAAAGAUAAAAAUUUUAAUUACCUCCAAAAGUUUUGCUGUGCCCUUUGGCAAUCCACCCUUCCUCUACCCUGUCCCUAGGUAACCACUGACCCAUUUUUCUAUCACCAUAGAUUAUUUUUCAUUCUCUAGAAUUAUAUAUAAAUACAGUUAUACAGCAUGUACUCUUUUUGUCUGGCUUCUUUCACUCAGCAUAAUUAUUCUGAGAUUCAACCAUGUUGUUGUGUGUAUCCAUAGUUCAUUCCUUUCUGUUGCUGAGCAGCAUUCCAUUGUAUGAAUAUAUCACAGUUGUUUAUCCAUUCAUCUGCUGUUGGACAUUGGAGUUGUUUCAACUUUGGGAUAUUACAAGUCAAGCUGCUAUGAAUAUUUAUGUGCAAGUUUUCAUAUGAACAUAUGUUUUCAUUUCUUUUGAAUAAAUACCUAGGAGUGAAGUGGCUGGUUCCUCUAGUAGGUGUAUAUUUAAUUUUUAAGUAAACUGCCAGAGUCUCGUAUCAUUUUACAUUUCCACCAGUAGGGUAUGGGAGCUCUAUGUUUUUGCCAGCAUUGGUAUGAUCAGCCUUUAUAAUUUUAACUCAUGAAAUAAGUAUAAAGUGGUAUGUCUUUGUGGUUUUAAUUUGCAUUUCUCUGAUGGCUAAUGAUGCUGAGCAUUUUUUCAUGUAUUUAUUUCCCAUUAAUAUAUCUUUUCUGAACUGUCUGUUCAAUGCUUUUGUCAUUUUAAAAUGGAUUUUGUCUUAUUAAUAUUGAGCUGUAAGAAUUCCUUGCACAUAUUGGGUACAAGUUCUUUGUCUGAAAUAUGAUACAAUAUCAAAGAUGGCUCUUCACAAUGUCAUAGGUGCUAAAAAUGGACCAUCCAAGGUUGCUUCUUCAUUUACAGGUCUGGAAUCCAACCUGAGUGGGCUGGAGGAGCUAAGCCUGGAGAGGCAUGUCUUUCUUCACAGCUUCUGAAUUGCAGCUAGCAUAGACUUCCUCACUGCAUGGUGAUCUAAGAGUACUUGGUCUUUUCACACAGUGUUUGAAUUCACCUUGAGCAAGUUUUCAAGAGACCAAGGCAGACGCUAUAGGCUUUUUAUGAUCUAGCUUUGAGAGUCCCAGACAUCACCACUGUUUCAUUCUAUUGAUUAAAAGUCAAGGUGAGUGCUGCUGGCAAGAUGGCCGAAUAGGAACAGCUCUGGUCUGCAGCUCCCAGCGAGAUCAACACAGAAGGCAGGUGAUUUCUGCAUUUCCAACUGAGGUACUCAUCUCAUCUCAUUGGGACUGGUUAGACAGUGGGUGCAUCCUACAGAGGGCAAGCCCAAGCAGGAUGAGGCAUUGCCUCACCUGGGAAGUCCAAGAGGUCUGGGAACUCCCUCCCUUAGCCAAGGGAAGCCCUGAGGGAUUGUGCCUUGAGGAAUAGUGUAUUUUAGCCCAGAUAUUACGCUUUUCCUAAUAGACCUAUUAGCGGACCAAAUAGACAUCUACAGAACUCUCCACCCCAAAUCAACAGAAUACACAUUGUUCUCAGCACCAUGCCACACUUAUUCUAAAAUCAACCACAUAAUUGGAAGUAAAACAUUCCUCAGCUAAUGCAAAAUAACAGAAAUCAUAAUGAACAGUCUCUCAGAACACAGUGCAAUCAAAUUAGAACUCAGGAUUAAGAAACUCACUGAAAACCUCACAACUGCAAGGAAACUGUACAACCUGCUCCCGAAUGACUACUGGGUAAAUAACGAAAUCAAGGCAGAAAUAAAUAAGUUCUUUGAAACCAAUGAGAACAAAGACACAAUGUACCAGAAUCUCUGGGACACAGCUAAAGCAGUGUUUAGAGGGAAAUUUAUAGCAUUAAAUGCCCACAGGAGAAAGCAGGAAAGAUCUAAACUGAUACCCUAACAUCACUAUGAAAAGAACUAGAGAAGCAAGAGCAAACAAAUUCAAAAGCUAGCAGAAGAAAAUAAAUAACUAAGAGCAGAGCAGAACUGAAAGAGACGGAGACAUGAAAAACCCUUCAAAAAUUAAUGAAUCCAGGAGCGGUUUUUUGAAAAGAUCAACAAAAUAGAUAGAUUGCAAGCCAGACUAAUAAAGAAUAAAAGAGAGAAGAAUCAAAUCAACACAAUAAAAAAUGAUAAAGGGGAUAUCACCACUGAUCCCACAGGAAUACAAACUACUAUCAGAGAAUACUAUAAACACCUCUACAUAAAUAAACUAGAAAAUCUAGAAGAAAUGGAUAAAUUCCUGGACACAUACACCCUCCCAAGACUAAACCAAGAAGAAGUUGAAUCCCCGAAUAGACCAAUAACAAGUUCUGAAAUUGAGGCUGUAAUUAAUAGCCUACCAACCAAAAAAAGCCCAGGAACAGAUGGAUUCACAGCCGAAUUCUACCAGAGGUAUAAAGGUACCAGAGGUACCAGAGAUACCAAGAGGAGCUGGUACCAUUCCUUCUGAAACUAUUCCAAAUAAUAGAAAAAGAGGGAAUCCUUCCUAACCCAGUUUAUGAGGCCAGCAUCAUCCUGAUACCAAAAACUGGCAGAGACACAACAAAAAAAGAAAAUUUCAGUCCAAUAUCCGUGAUGAACAUUGAUGCGAAAAUCCUCAAUAAAUACUGGCAAACAGAAUCCAGCAGCACAUCAAAAAGCUUAUCCACCAGGAUCAAGUCAGCUUCAUCCCUGGCAUGCAAGGCUGGUUCAACAUACACAAAUUGAUAAACAUAAUCCAUCACAUAAAUGGAACCAAUGACAAAAAAACACAUUAUUAUCUCAAUAGAUGUAGAAAAGGCCUUUGACAAAAUUCAACACCCCUUCAUGCUAAAAACUCUCAGUAAACUAGGUAUUGAUGGAAUGUACCUGAAAAUAAUAAGAGCUAUUUAUGACAAACCCACAGCCAAUAUCAUACUGAAUGGGCAAAAGCUGGAAGCAUUCCCUUUGAAAACUGGCACAAGACAAGGAUGCCCUCUCUCACCACUCCUAUUCAACAUACUAUUGGAAGUUCUGGCCAAGGCAAUCAGGCAAGAGAAAGAAAUAAAGCGUAUUCAAAUAGGAAGAGAGAAAGUCAAAUUGUCUCUGUUUGCAGAUUACAUGAUUGUAUAUUUAGAAAACGCCAUUGUCUCAGCCCAAAAUCUCCUUAAGCUGAUAAGCAACUUCAGCAAAGUCUCAGGAUACAAAAUCAAUAUGCAAAAAUCACAAGCAUUCCUAUACACCAAAUAAUAGACAAACAGAGAGCCAAAUCAUGAGUGAACUCCCAUUCACAAUUGCUAUAAAGAGAAUAAAAUACCUAGGAAUACAACUUACAAGGGAUGUGAGGGACCCCUUCAGGGAGAACUAUGAACCACCGCUCAAGGAAAUAAGAGAGAACACAAACAAAUAGCAAAACAUUCCAUGCUCAUGGAGAGGAAGAAUCAAUAUCAUGAAAAUGGCCAUACUGCCCAAAGUAAUUUAUAGAUUCAAUGUUAUCCCCAUCAAGCUGUCAUUGACUUUCUUCACAGAAUUAGAAAAAAACUACUUUAAAUUUCAUAUGGAACGAAAAAAGAGCCCACAUAGCCAAGACAAUCCUAAGCAAAAAGAACAAAGCUGGAGGCAUCACGCUGCCUGACUUCAACGUAUACUACAGGGAUACAGUAACCAAAACAGCAUGGUACUGGUACCAAAACAGAUAUAUAGACCAAUGGAACAGAACAGAGGCCUCAUAAAUAACACCACACAUCUACAACCAUCUGAUCUUCAACAAACCUGACAAAAACAAGAAAUGGCGAAAGGAUUACCUAUUUAAUAAAUGGUGUUGGGAAAACUGGCUAGCCAUAUGCAGAAAACUGAAACUGGACCCCUUCCUCAUACCUUAUACAAAAAUUAACUCAACAUGGAUUGAAGAUGUAAACAUAAGACCUAAAACCAUAAAAACCCUAGAAGAAAACCUAGGCAAUACCAUUCAGGACAUAGGCAUGGGCAAAGACUUCAUGACUAAAACACCAAAAGCAAUGGCAACAAAAGUCAAAAUAGACAAAUGGGAUCUAAUUAAACUAAAGAGCUUCUGCACAGCAAAAGAAACUAUCAUCAGAUGAACAGGCAACCUACAGAAUGGGAGAAAAUUUUUGCAAUCUAUCCAUCUGACAAAGGGCUAAUAUCCAAAAUCUACAAAUAACUUAAACAAAUUUACAAGAAACAAAUCAAACAACCCCAUCAAAAAGUGGGUGAAGGAUAUGAUCAGACACUUCUCAAAAGAAGACAUUUAUGCAGCCACCAAAUAUAUGAAGAAAGGCUCAUUAUCACUGGUCAUUAGAGAAAUGCAAAUCAAAACCAAAUGAGAUACCAUCUCACGCCAGUUAGAAUGGCAAUCAUUACAAAGUCAGGAAACAACAGAUGCUGGAGAGGAUGUGGAGAAAUAUGAACGCUUUUACAUUGUUGGUGGGAGUGUAAAUUAGUUCAACCAUUGUGGAAGAAAGUGUGGCAAUUCCGCAAGGAUCUAGAGCCAGAAAUACCAUUUGACCCAGCAAUCCCAUUACUGGGUAUAUAUCCAAAGGAUUAUAAAUCAUUCUACUAUAAAGACAAUGCACAUGCAUGUUUAUUGCAGCACUAUUCACAAUGGCAAAUACUUAGAACCAACUCAAAUGCCCAUCAAUGAUAGACUGGAUAAAGAAACUGUGGCACAUAUAGAACUAUGGAAUACUAUGCAGCCAUAAAAAAGGAUGAGUUCAUGUCCUUUGCAGGGACAUGGAUGAAGCUGGAAAUCAUCAUUCUCAGCAAACUAACACAAGAACAGAAAACCAAACACCUCAUGUUCUCACUCAUAAGUGGGAGUUGAACAAUGAGAACACUUGGACACAGGGAAGGGAACAUCACACAAUGGGGCCUGUCAGUGGGUGGGGGUCUAUGGGAGAUAUGGCAUUAAGAGAAAUACCUAAUGUAGAUGGUGGGUUGAUGGGUGCAGCAAACCACCAUGGCACGUAUAUACCUAGGUAACAAACCUGCAAGUAUCCCAGAACUUAAAGUAUUAAAAAAAAAAAAAAGUCAAGGUGAAAGGAAUUAUACAUCAUCCAUAAUCUCUCAAUGGGAAGUAUAACAAAGAACUUAAUGGCCAUUAAAUCUCCUACAUAUAGUAUAAUCAGGGACCUCUACAUUAGUGCAAGCUGCCAACUUAUUCCUCAAUCAAACUCAUUGACAUAUUUAAAUGACACAUUUCUAGAACUGAUAGUUUUCGAAGUGCAUGCAUAUAUUUUAUUGUAUGUAACUCUCAUAAGAAUGUUUGAUUUAGGCAGGCAGAUAUUAAUAUCCCCACCUUAAAGAAGUUGCUGAGGCCCGGUGACACUGGUCAUUUGUCCAAGAAAAAGACUCUAGAACUCAAGAUCCUUUGCAUCUAGUGCAGUGCUUUCUCCACGAUGUCAUGCUGUUUUCACUUUAGCACACAAAUCCUUCUAAUUAAAUAAGCCCUUUCUUUCUGAGAAAUAUACUAGAACCAAAAGUUCUGUGGUUGGAAGGAAUGAAAAUGAAUGAAUGAACUUAAAAUUUCACCUCUGUUCACUGGCAUUAUUAUUCAGUUGAUUAAAAUUUUAUUUAUGGACACAAAAAUGACAGUCCACUCUUAAUGAGAAAAUCUUCACAGAACCCUAAGUAUGUGAAUACACACACAUACACAAACAUAUAUAUUUUGCACACAUACAAUUGUUAGUAUAUGCACAAAAAGAUCAUCUGUGGGCUAUAUUACUGUUAAGUGUUAUAUCUUAAAGAUUCUGGGCCAGGCGUGGUGGCUCAUGCCUAUAAUCCUAGCACUUUGGGAGGCUGAGGCAGGUGGAUCGUUUGAGGUGAGGAGUUCAACACCAGCCUCACCAACAUGGUGAAACCCCAUCUCACAAAAAUUAGCCAGGCAGUAGUGGUUGUGCCUGUAAUCCCAGCUACUCGGGAGGCUGAGGCAGGAGAAUCGCUUGAGCCCAGGAGGCGGAGGUUGCAGUGAGCCGAGAUCAUGCCACUGCACUCCAGCCUGGGUGACAGAGUGAGACCCUGUCUCAAACAGAUUCUGUAUUGUUUGAAUUUGAGUAUAUAUUAUUCUGGAAAUGAUAAUAAAAAAGAUUUAAAAACUCUUCAGUCCUUUCAGAAAUACAUGAUAAUGAUCAGACUUGAGGCACUGUCACAACUUUUAUAGUUCUGAGUAGAGUAUAAGUAUUGUUGUCCCUUGGUAAUGCAGGAGACUCGUUCCAAGACCCCCAGGGAUACCCACACCCACACAUACUCAAGUCCUGCAGUCCACCAUUUGGAACUCACAGAUAUAAAAAGUCGGUCCUCUGCAUAAGUGGGUUUCGCAUCCCAUGGAUACUGCAUUAUUGAUGUGUGUUUGAUUGAAAAACAUCCACAUAUAACUGAACCUGUGCAGAUCAAAACUGUGUUGUUCAAGUGUCAGCUGUAUAAACAAAUGAACAAACAGAACUUCAGAUAGUAUCACAGUAAGGACAGAAACUCUACAUUGGAUUUGUUCCCCAAAGAGAGGCUACUGUGAAACUACGUUUUCAGUAAUCAGCAUUGAGACAUUUAUUUAUUUAUUUAUUUAUUUAUUUUUUCAAGGCAGCAGUAUUUGAAAUAGUGAGAAACUUAAAACAACUUUCCAGCCAGUAGGCAAAAAAUAACUAUUAUCCCAUGAUUUAUAAGACCAAUUAGAUCUAUAUUAACCAUCACAGAUAAAUCUUUAAAACAUGCUAAAUGAGUAAAGCAAGUUCAAAAAGUAUAAAACAGAAUAUUAUAACAAAUACAUUUUUACACAAUCUAAAACUAAAAUAUAUAUUAUAAUAAGGCAUACAUGUAAGUAUUAAAAGUAAAGUAGAAAAACAUUCACAAAAAUGAUAAAUAUCAACUUCAGGAUAAUGUUAAGGGGAUUAAGAGACGGGGAAAGCAUAGAAUAUAAAGCUUUAUUUUAUUUCUUUAAAAAAAAAGUUCAAGAUCUCAAACAAAUACAGGAAGAUGCUAUCUUCCAUUUAUUAUCUCCAUGGUGGAUAUAGAACUAUCUUUUACUUUAUGUUAGAAAUGUUUCGUAGUUUUAAUGUUUACAUUUUUUAAAAAGUUGAUCCUGCCAGGUUGUCUUCCAUGAAUAGACAUUUUUCAACAAGAAAGACAGAAUAUGCAGCACUCAUGUGUCCUUGAAAAAGCAACUACCCCAUGAUGAAAACAAGACAACUAAAAACUCAAUCAGAACAAAAACCACAGAAAUAGAAAAGCCAUGGAAAAGAUAUGAUGGUAAGCACUGAAUCCAUUUAAAUAUAGAACUAAGGCUAAACAUAGAGCUAGACUAACUUCUGGUAAACAGAAAGCAAAUAUUAUAUGCCCUGAAAAAGCGAAAAUACAAACAACAUAAAAUUCAGAACUGAAGAAAGAGAUGACAGAACAUAUGAAUAGCACUCAACUUCAUCAUUCACAGUAGGGAUUUCAUAUCUAAUAUCUAAAUUUUAAACAAGCAGUUUUAAAAAAUACUCUGAUUUCUUACUGUUUUUUAUAAACUAUUUUCCUAAUUUUAGUGAAAUCUUACAGAACCUAAGAGUUCUGUGGCAAAGAAACCUUUACCUAGAGUUCAGCAUUUACCUAGAGUUUAAGAUAUUUUCCCUUGUUAUUAAAUUCAAACAAAAUCAUAAUUUAAACUUUUAUUUUUUAAAAUAGCGUACUCUCAUAAUUAUGAAAUUAUUCCUGUCUGUCUAUAUAUAAGCAUGAAUAAGAUGAUGUUCACCAAAUGUUAACAUAGGUUAUUACUGCUUGGUAGAGAAAUUUAUUUUUAAAUAAAACAAUAGGCCAGGCGCGGUGGCUCAUGCCUGUAAUCCCAGCACUUUGGAAGACCAAGGCGUGACUUAAGGUCACUUAAGGUGACCUUAAGGUCAGGAGUUUGAGACCAGUCUGGCCAACAUGGCGAAAUCUCGUCUCUACUCAAAAAUACAAAAAUUAGCAGGGUGUGGUAGCACGUGCCUGUAAUCCCAGCUACUAGGGAGGCUGAGGCAGGAGAAUUGCUUGAACCCGGGGGGGCGGAGGUUGCAGUGAGCCGAGAUCGUGUCACUAUACUCCAGCCUGGGCAACAGUGAGAUGCUUCUCAAAAAAUAAUAAUAAAAUAAAAUAAUGAAUAAAUAAAUAAAUAAUACAAAAUAUUCUUUGAGUUAAACAUAAAUGACUUCCAGAAACUUACUUGUUUGGAACUCAAAAGAGAUAGGCAAUUCUUUCCAAAAUAAGAAGUGACAGUUUCUCACAGAUCUCAAAAGGCCAAUAAACAGUCAAGAAAAAAGUGAACCAACUUGAAUGAAUACAUACAUUCACACAUAUAAAUAUCACUUAAAAGGAAAGCAUUCCAGACUGACAUUAAGUUACUUAAAAAUUCUAAACCAAAAAGGUGGCCUCACUAGGUCCUAAACUAGUCGCAGGAGGAUCUGGGGGACUGGCAAAGCUAUGAGGCUGAACCAGUGUGAAAAAUGCUUUUCAGUAUGUGUUCAUUUUGAGAACAGAAUAAAGACCAAAGAGCAAAAUGCUAGGGUCUGAACAAGAAUGUCAUUUUUAGGACAGGUGCUCCAGAUAGGAGCAUCUUGGAUCCAGCCAGGAGCAGUGUUACCCAAAUGUCAAUAUUUGAAAUGUCAAUGGCCAGGACUGAGAACUAGUUAUUGUGGGGAGGUACCAAAGACAAACUGGAAAGAAGGACAGAAGACCAAAAAUAAUGACAACAGCUGCCAUUUGUCAAGUGCUAGCCAUGCUGGACGCUUUUCAUACAAUAUCUCACUCACAGCCCAUAGUCUACUUGCAAACAGGAUAUAAUAUAUUUUUCAGAUGACAACACAGACUCAGAAGGUUUACAUGGCAUGCCCAAAGCCACAAUGCUAGGAAGCAACAGAACCACAAUUCAAGUCCAGAUCCUUCUCACCACAAAGUCUGUGCUCUUUGCAGCAUGCCAAGCUGUAAAAUCCAAAGGAGUAAACACAAAUAUAUAAGAAUAGUAAAGUCAGGGGCCAGGAGACUCAAGAGAUGUGAGCCAAGGUGUCAGGUCAGUCAUCUCUACAUGUUGUGGACUUCUACCAACAGAGGCUGUCUCCUGGUGUGCCCCUUUCGUGUGCUAUCUGGUGAGUGCUGCAAGGUGGCAGCUUCUUCACAGAGUCAGGGGGCAGAUAAAAUUAAAAUGAACAUAAUAACUGUUUUAAAGGCGGUCAGGUCAGCUUUGCCAAGUGUCGUGUUUGAUGUAAGCAGCAGAGGGAAAUGGAAGAGAGAGGGUGACAGAGUCAAUGACUGAGUAAUAAAACAUUAGCCCAGGCUCUGUCUGGAUGCUCAUGAGAGCCUCUUCCCUAAGAUGAGGAUCACUCAGGAAGACAUGAUGAGAACCCAUGAAUCUAGCACCCACCACCGAGCAGGGAACAAAGUAAGAAAUGCCUUUCAAGAAGGAUGUCAUCAGUGGUGUCAAGUGCGAAAAAAAGAAUAAGCUAGAGGAAGACUGAGAUAAGGCCUGGAUUUGGCCUUGAGGAGGACACAGUUGGCUUUUGAGAGGGUAGAUCUGGGGCCUUAGAAGAGUGUGAAUCAAAUGACAGUGGCCUGAGGCAAGAGUGGAAAGUGCUGAAAUAGAAGCAGCAUGCGGUUUGACUUUGUCAAGAAGCCUGGUGGCCAGAAGUAGAUGGUGAGCAAGUCAGAGACAGGUGGUCAGUUUAGAGAAAUUGCAAGGGGAGUCAUAGGUUAGGGAGGAAGCGCUAGUCACAGGUUAGAGAGGGGUGAUUCUAGGAUGCAAGAGGAAGAAAUUGAUUUGUGGAGUAAGGACCCAGAUGGGUGAAGAGGGGACAGGAUACUGCCCAUUGACAGAAUCUUUUCUUAAAAGGGAAAGAGAAGAAAAGGAAGACUGAUGAUAAUACAGACAUUAGAAGGGAGUUUUAGGCAUUUCUUCUUGGUGGUUUGCGGAUUUAGUUUUUUACUAUUCCACAUGGCAUGAAGGAUAGACUUACUUCAGCAAGAAAAAGCAUGCAAUAGCAGGUAUAAGUUCAGGUUCCUAGAUUUGCCUCUUACUAACUCUGUGGCCUUCGACAACAUUUCUGAGCUUCACUUUCCUUGCCUUCAAAUCAGGAUGAUUAUACCUGUCCUGACUCCAAGGGGGUGCUAGAGUCUGCUCACACCAGCUCCCCUGAGCCAAUUGCUAAAUAUCUAGAAAUUCAGAGUUGUUAAAUCAUUGGUAGUAUGAAACUGGCACAAACCAGGGAUUCCCUCUCCCUUUUGAGUGCUUACCACAUCACUGCCUGAUUCCCUUACAAGGCACUGUCAGGCUGAAAUGAGAGGCUGGUUGUGAAAACACUUUGCAAAGAACCAAGCCCUGGAUAAAGGUAAGGGAUUUUUAUUAUUAAUAUUAACAAGUGUGACGGCAUGGUUUCCUAUGUAUUAACUUGAGUUUUAUUUUCUAUUCCCCACUGCCCACCUUUCCCAACAGGUAACUUUAGUAUUUCCUUGUCUCAGCAGUUUUUGCAGGGCAGAAGGCAAAGAUACUUGAAGGCAAUGGCUCCUCUAGUCUUAUUGAAGGACUUAUACUCACCAUAGAGAUCGUGUUAAGAGCAUGAGGGAAAAUGGGAUUAUCAAAAAGACUUCAAUAAGACAUUCAGAGGAAGAGAUUCCCUAUAGACAAGGAAGGG